rnacentral:rRNA from 1 species
GACGAACGCUGGCGGCGUGCUUAACACAUGCAAGUCGAACGGAAAGGCCCUGCUUUUGUGGGGUGCUCGAGUGGCGAACGGGUGAGUAACACGUGAGUAACCUGCCCUUGACUUUGGGAUAACUUCAGGAAACUGGGGCUAAUACCGGAUAGGAGCUCCUGCUGCAUGGUGGGGGUUGGAAAGUUUCGGCGGUUGGGGAUGGACUCGCGGCUUAUCAGCUUGUUGGUGGGGUAGUGGCUUACCAAGGCUUUGACGGGUAGCCGGCCUGAGAGGGUGACCGGCCACAUUGGGACUGAGAUACGGCCCAGACUCCUACGGGAGGCAGAAGUGGGGAAUAUUGCACAAUGGGCGGAAGCCUGAUGCAGCAACGCCGCGUGCGGGAUGACGGCCUUCGGGUUGUAAACCGCUUUCGCCUGUGACGAAGCGUGAGUGACGGUAAUGGGUAAAGAAGCACCGGCUAACUAGGUG